rnacentral:rRNA from 1 species
UCCAUUUGAACGUUCGAGAUGACGCUUUCCCUUCGGGGACAAAGUGACAGGUGGUGCAUGGUUGUCGUCAGCUCGUGUCGUGAGAUGUUGGGUUAAGUCCCGCAACGAGCGCAACCCUUAUUACUAGUUGCCAGCAUUCAGUUGGGCACUCUAGUGAGACUGCCGGUGACAAACCGGAGGAAGGUGGGGAUGACGUCAAAUCAUCAUGCCCCUUAUGACCUGGGCUACACACGUGCUACAAUGGCAAGUACAACGAGCAGCUAACCCGCGAGGGUACGCGAAUCUCUUAAAACUUGUCUCAGUUCGGAUUGUAGGCUGCAACUCGCCUACAUGAAGUCGGAAUCGCUAGUAAUCGCGGAUCAGCACGCCGCGGUGAAUACGUUCCCGGGUCUGUAACACACCG